GACUUACAUUUAAAACUAAGAAACAUGAGUUCUGAGUUCUUUGCACUUAUAGUAAUUUCAACUUUGGAAAGCCAUUUAUAUUUUUUAUGAUAAUGUCUAAAGCUAAAAUGAUUUUUCUCCUUCAAAAUACUUCGAAAAUAUGGUAGUUGAUCUUCCAACACCAAUGGGAGGAUCCAGAGCAUGGUUUCCAGGAAACGACUUACACGGUAGGAAUUCUGGCUGUUCCCUAAAGGAUAAUUAAAGUAGUGGUUAGCAGAGAACUGUUGUCACUUAAAAAUGGAAAU
rnacentral:lncRNA from 1 species